AAGCCUGAAGCAGCCAUGCCGCGUGUAUGAAGAACGCCUUAGGGUUGUAAAGUACUUUCAGCGGGGAGGAAGGUGAUAAGGUAAAUACCCUUAUCAAUUGACGUUACCCGCAGAAGAAGCACCGGCUAUCUCCGUGCCAGCAGCCGCGGUAAUACGGAGGGUGCAAGCGUUAAUCGGAAUUACUGGGCGAAAAGCGCACGCAGGCGGUCAAUAAAGUCAGAUGUGAAAG
rnacentral:rRNA from 1 species